rnacentral:rRNA from 1 species
CCUACGGGAGGCAGCAGUGAGGAAUAUUGGUCAAUGGCCGGAAGGCUGAACCAGCCAUGCCGCGUGAAGGUCAGUGCCCUAUGGGCGUUAAACUUCUUUUGUGCGGGAGCAAUAAUGGUCACGUGUGGCCAGACGAGAGUACCGUACGAAUAAGCAUCGGCUAACUCCGUGCCAGCAGCCGCGGUAAUACGGGGGAUGCAAGCGUUAUCCGGAUUUAUUGGGUUUAAAGGGUGCGUAGGCGGAUCGUUAAGUCAGUGGUCAAAUUGAGGGGCUCAACCCCUUCCCGCCAUUGAAACUGGCGCUCUUGAGUGGAAGAGAAGUAUGCGGAAUGCGUGGUGUAGCGGUGAAAUGCAUAGAUAUCACGCAGAACCCCGAUUGCGAAGGCAGCAUGCCGGCUUCCGACUGACGCUGAAGCACGAAAGCGUGGGGAUCGAACAGGAUUAGAUACCCUUGUAGUC